UACGGGAACUCGGUACCUGUCCCUAUCGAGUAUCGACUCCUUCCCAUCCUCCCCCAAUCUCCGCUCGUCCUCCUCCUCUCGCCACCGCCGGCCAUGGGGGAAACUCGCCACAUCAAGGCUUUGCCUCCUCUCUCUCUCUCUCUUUCUCUUUCGGCCGCUGGUCUUUAGCUGUUCUAAUCUGUUGUCAGGGCUGCUUACUGCAUAUGGUGUUGCCUUACCAGGAACGAAUCAGGAAAUUUUCAUGUCUUACAAGGUCAAAGUCAGCAAACACAGAAUGAUAAAAUCAAAUGGCUUGAGGAAGAUUUUUUUGUUGAACUCAAUAUGAUGCAGAAGUUUGUUACAGGAGGCUGCUGGUACCUAUCAUAUUACCACCCACAACUUCAUCUCAGAAGGUUCAUUUGUCAGGCACAUCUUCUCAUAGUUUGUGGAAGGUGGUAUACAAAGUGACUAAGAUUUUCAAAAAUAAUAAAAGAAAAACUUUGCCAAUCCUAUUGUUUCAAGUUCAACAGACUAUUGCCUGCUUUUGAGAUAUUAAAAGGCAAGAUGAUAUUGUCGAGAAUACAACUGAUUUCCCAUCUCAAGUAUAUCAUGGCUGUGUGGAACUGUGAUAACAAGUAUGGAUUUUGUUAUUAAUGGUGUUUUGGUGCAUUAAGCACACCAAAGCUCUUAUCACCGAUGCUGUAGGUCUUGAAACAAAUUGGUGCAAGGUCAAGGUCGUGGAAAGCCAUGCCUUCAGACAGAUUAAUGGUAGCUCGUAGCCAGGAUUUUGGGUAAAAUUCUUCAAUUCAGUGAGCUUUGAGUUUCGUUGUUUAUUUAAUUAUUUUCUGUAGAGGGCCAUUGGUUUUGUUGUCUGAUCAGCUUCAGGUAUGUGGGUGAGGCUGCUUCGUUUUGGCUUAAGAAUGUGGGACUGGUUUGAUUAUUUACACAUCUUCAAUUUCUUAUGUUCUGUCUUCAGAAACAGAAUAUAAUAUCAGGAUUUUUUAAAAGAAAA